CUGACAUCACCACAGGUCCUGUACAAAGAAACCUCAUGUCUCCUCUACAGUUGUAGGUUCCUCCAACCCAGGAUCCUCUGCUGAUAUCUUAUAUAUAAGGGAAGUUUCCUAAUCAACUAUGGAGAGAGACAGGAGCAAGAUGGCCGACAGGAUAAUAGACCUCACCCUACAGAUACUCUUCCGGCUUACUGGAGAGGAUUACACAGUAAUGAAGAAGUCCUCUAGUGGGCGCUGUUGGGCCCCUGUGUGGGAAGGAUGGGGAAGAACCCUGAGCCCAAUCCCGGAGCCUGCACCUCACUCCCUGAUACAUGAGGAAAUGGAGGAACAGAAGAUCCUAGAACUAAUCAACAAGAUGAUGGA